GGUUCAGGACGAACGCUGGCGGCGUGCUUCAUACAUGCAAGUCGAACGAGAAACUGACUUCGGUUAGUGGAAAGUGGCGGACGGGUGAGUAAUAUGUAGAGAAUCUGCCCUUGAGUGGGGGACAACAGAGGGAAACUUCUGCUAAUACCCCAUAUGAGCUUAGUUGAAAUACUAAUCUUGAAAACUCCGGUGCUCAAGGAUGAGUCUGCAUCUGAUUAGCUAGUUGGCGGUGUAAUGGACCACCAAGGCGACGAUCAGUAGCUGGUUUGAGAGGAUGAUCAGCCACAAUGGGACUGAGACACGGCCCAUACUCCUACGGGAGGCAGCAGUAGGGAAUUUUGCGCAAUGGGCGAAAGCCUGAACCGCAGCAACGCCGCGUGAACGAUUAAGCCCUUCGGGGUGUAAAGUUCUGUCAGUAGGGACGAAACUUGACGGUACCUACAGAGGAAGCACCGGCUAACUCCGUGCCAGCAGCUGC
rnacentral:rRNA from 1 species